UAGGGAAUUUUGCGCAAUGGGGGAAACCCUGACGCAGCAACACCGCGUGAACGACGACGCCCUUCGGGGUGUAAAGUUCUGUCAGUAGGGACGAAUUUUGACGGUACCUACAGAGGAAGCAUCGGCUAACUACGUGCCAGCAGCCGCGGUAAGACGUAGGAUGCGAGCGUUGUCCGGAAUCAUUGGGCGUAAAGAGUUCGUAGGCGGUAUGUAAAGUCUGGUGUUAAAGCCCGAAGCUCAACUUCGGUUCGGCACUGGAUACUUGCAAACUAGAGUGCAAUAGAGGUAGGGGGAAUUCCUAGUGUAGCGGUGAAAUGCGUAGAUAUUAGGAGGAACACCGGUGGCGAAAGCGCCCUACUGGGUUGUAACUGACGCUGAGGAACGAAAGCCAGGGUAGCAAAUGGG
rnacentral:rRNA from 1 species